UAGGGAAUUCUCCCAACAAGUGGGACGAAAGCCUGAUGGAGCAACGCCGCGUGUGUGAUGGAAGGGUUUCGGCUCGUUAAACACUGUUGUAAGAGAAGAAUGACAUUGAGAGUAACUGUUCAAUGUGUGACGGUAUCUUACCAGAAAGGAACGGCUAAUACGUGCCAG
rnacentral:rRNA from 1 species